UGGUGGAGUGAUUUGUCUGGUUAAUUCCGUUAACGAACGAGACCUCCGCGUGCUAAAUAGUUCCAUUUACAAUUUUUUGUAGAUUGUGGACUUCUUAGAGGGACUUUUGGGUAAUCAAACCAAAGGAAGUUGGAGGCAAUAACA
rnacentral:rRNA from 1 species